AGCGAACGCUGGCGGCGUGCUUAACACAUGCAAGUCGAGCGAGAAAGGGGGCUUCGGCCCCUGAGUACAGCGGCGAACGGGUGCGUAAUACAUGAGUAAUCUACCCUUGAGGCGGGAAUAACCCAGCGAAAGUUGGGCUAAUACCGGAUAAGACCACAAGAGGAGACCCUAGAGGUUAAAGGCAGCUUUCUUUUGGGAGCGGCCCUUCGAGGAGGAGCUCAUGUCCUAUCCGCUAGUUGGAGGGUAACGGCCUACCAAGGCGAAGACGGGUAGCUGGUCUUAGAGGAUGAUCAGCCACACGGGGACUGAGACACGGCCCCGACUCCUACGGGAGGCAGCAGUGGGGAAUAUUGGGCAAUGGGCGAAAGCCUGACCCAGCGACGCCGC
rnacentral:rRNA from 1 species